GACGAACGCUGGCGGCGUGCCUAAUACAUGCAAGUAGAACGCUGAAGGAGGAGCUUGCUUCUCUGGAUGAGUUGCGAACGGGUGAGUAACGCGUAGGUAACCUGCCUGGUAGCGGGGGAUAACUCUUGGAAACGAUAGCUAAUACCGCAUAAGAUUGACUAUUGCAUGAUAGUCAGUUAAAAGGUGCAAUUGCAUCACUACCAGAUGGACCUGCGUUGUAUUAGCUAGUUGGUGGGGUAACGGCUCACCAAGGCGACGAUACAUAGCCGACCUGAGAGGGGGGUCGGCCACACUGGGACUGAGACACGGCCCAGACUCCUACGGGAGGGAGCAGUAGGGAAUCUUCGGCAAUGGACGGAAGUCUGACCGGGCAACGCCGCGUGAGUGAAGAAGGGUUUCGGAUCGGAAAGCUCGGUUGUAAGAGAAGAACGAGUGUGGGAGUGGAAAGUGCACACUGUGACGGUAUCUUACCAGAAAGGGACGGCUAACUACGUG
rnacentral:rRNA from 1 species